GAAAAAAAUAACAAAUUGAGAGAAUUCUAUCCAUGAACUGUUUGUUCUCGAAACUAAGAGAUUAGACUUAUUAAAAGUGGCAUUGAUAUUAUAAAGCUCUAGUUUUCAUCAAAAUAUAGCCAGAAAAAUUCCAAGAUAUAUGAUAGGUCAAAUGAGCUCAUUAAUCAAUUAUAUGCAUCUAACGCCUAUUUUGUGCAAGGCAUUUCCCAGGCACUGUAAGUUGAAAGGAUAGUUACUUACAGAAACUGCUAAUAUAACAGGAUCUACGCAUAACUUUGCCAAGAUCAUUCUCGUAAUUCUGUGCCACUCUAAUGAGGGUGAUAAAAACAUUCAUUUUUUCCUUCAUUUACAAGAUUUAUUAAGCACCACUCUGUUCUAGGCAUUGCACAAAGCAUCAGCAAUUGAGAAAUAAGAAAAAUACAGCACACCAUCAAAAAGCUAGGACUCUAAUGACCUCAAGUUAUUAAAGGUCCCUCCAAACUAUGUCUACCAGAAGUGGAAAGAAUCUGGUCUCAUCCCUCUAGACGACCCUCUACAGACAGGAAUGCUUCCUAGAUUGGAAUCGGUGAGGGACAAUGUGGAAGAAAGUGAAAGCGGAAAUUCUGCAUCAAAGUGGUCCUGAUCCCAUCAGCUCAGGGAAGCCUGAGGUGGUUGUAUGGGAACUUUCAGCUUGGGUUCAAGGCUUGGGACGUUAUAGCGCUAGAUGAGCUCUGCAAGGAAGAGUUUCCAGAGUGUCCGAGAAAGUUCUGGAAGAAACCAGCUUUCUCUUCCUCUCUGAAUCACUACUAUGAUUGAGACCCGGCAAGGAACUAAGCUGCUUCCACUUCAUUGUGUUGACCAAGAGACGCUUAUAGUAAAGACCAAUAUACAGCGUCUAGUUGAAGAGAAAGUGUCACAGUUCUUCUGGAAACCUGCCCAUCACAGUGUCCUGGGGCAAGAAAAGAAGUGUGACCAGUGUCCUAAGGAGUCAACUGCACUUUGGACAGCGCUGCCAAGCACACCCCUGGCUUCCUCCAGAGGAUGCCACGUAGUGGUCUUUGUUCUCCUUGCAUACACAUCUAAGGCACCUGGAACCCCAAGGAUUGUGUUUUCCCCAGGAGGAAUACACCUGUGUCCUCACUUGUCUUUGAAGGCUUGCUUGUUUCAGGAUGAACGUUUAAACAGACCAUAAGACCUUUCUUUGUAUUCAAAUCAACCCAAAGUUCUCGUAUCACUGAUAUCACACUAUUGAAAACCGAGCCACAGCCCCUAAAUCUGGUAGCAGGUGUCACGAUGCCCAGGUCAGAACAUGCUAGGAACCAGGCUGUCUGUAGUUUUAGUGCUUUAGGAAACCAGUAAUGGAAAACGCCAAAGCGAUAGGAAGGAAAUAGAGAUACCCUGGAUAAAGAUUUGACUUCUCUUCAAACGUGUUUGUGUUUGGCUUUUCUGACAUGUUUUGAUUUUCGAAAGAGACAAUCCGUGUAGAUAAAGCCCCCAAAACAGUGGCUGCUACAUACGGGGGACUGUCAGUCAUGUUCUUUUUUUUUUCACAGCGUGUGUGAAUUCUAUUGCCUCAGUCUUUGGUAUUACCCGUGAACUCUAAACUUACAUCAGAAAAAAAUGGGUAGAUACAAUUUCAGUUUUUACACGACAAAAAACAGGCAUUUUCACAAUUGCUAUUUAAAUAAGGACAUCCCUAGAAAUAAAAAUGCUUACUUUUUGCAUCAGGAUAGGGAAGAGGGGGAUUGUUGGAAUGAAGAAAGCAGGAUUAUCAGAUCCCAGUGGUUGAGCUGUGGCAGUUUCUUUGGACGUACCACACGAGGCCCUGCAUCACUGUCUCAAAGGAGGAACUUAUAGGAGGUAAAGCCAAAUAGCCGGAAUAAUUAAAUAUAAAGAAAGGAGUAGUUUCGACAACGAACAUCAACCACGCCAUGAUGUCUGUUGGACCAAUGCUAGCCAUGACUGAAGAACUUCCCAGAAAGCGCUUAGACCCAAGGGGACUUAUUCCCACCUUUGAACAACCUCAACUCUGGCCUUGCUGGAGGGAAACUCUGACUAGUAUUUUUGCUUUAUUGUCAUAGAUGCAGGUAGGUAUAACUUCAUAGAUUCUUAGAGACUCAGAGCAAGAAGAGACUUUGACCGCCCAGAAAAACCACUUUGCUUUUUCUAUCAGGAAGCAGAGACUCCAAGCACAGGGAAUCACACUUAGUCAGUGACUGGAUGCAUGAUGGGGUAGCAGAAUCUAGAACUCGGGUCUUCUAACUCCUGGUCCAUACGUUGGAGAUCAAAAACUAAAAAGUGAUAUAUACCCAGUGAGAACAGAGGAUCGCUAUUGGACCCAGGGGAUAGAGAGAAUUUCCUGGUCCACUGGAGCAACUGCUACGUGAGACAUCUGUAUCAGCACCUCUUCCCAUCUCUUACCAUUGAUGAUCGCACGCCUUGAAAGAAGGCACCUUUCCUUCUUCCAAAAUCCCGCUGUAUUCAAAAGGCGUGGAAAUGCCACUGCUGCUGAGUGCGGUGGAGAAAAGGAAAGAAGAACACCCCUCCCCUCCCCUGACCUCUCCCACUGUGUUGCCCAUCUGUCCUCCCACACUUAGGCUGCUUCAGCUCUUUGGUCCAACCUUGGACUCAUUUAGCUCCUGAGUCAAGUCCCAGAUGAUCUCUUUAGCUACAAGCCAAUUUAACAGGGUUUCUCUUGAAACAAAACAAAACUUUAGGGGCUUUGAUUUUAGGAAAUGAGAUGCGAUUUCUUUGAGGAAUUAUAUGACCCCAAGUUACCAGGUCUACUAAAGUUGUCCCAUGUGCACUGGGGUCUCUGGGUCUCUUCUGGGCACAGACUGGUUCCCCCCACUUUGUCCCAAAGAAUGUCUGUCUUGGCCAGAUGACAACCAGGUAUUCUAGAGUCUUUCCCCAAAACUACAACAAAGCAAACAGGAUUCAACUAAUGAUAGGUUUGUAUAACUAGAAAAUUAUUUUAAAAAGUAAGCAGGUCUCUAUUGGCUCAAAUGAGGAUUUCCACAGUUGGUUUCCACUUAUGUUGUGCUUGGGAUAGAUUUUCCAGGAUUUGGCUGAGAUGCCCCACUGCUCUUGUUAAACCCAGAAGUGGGAUGUUCAGGCUGGGCCAGAAGCUCUGAAGAGAUGGUCAGAAAGAAAGGUGGUCAAGUUUUUGGCCAGUGAUUUUAAAGACUGUCAUUCUAUUUUUCUUCGCCUUCGCAUAGCCCCAUUCUGGAGUUUAAAUAAGUUUCAGAGAGAAAGAAAGAAAAAAUGGGCUGUCUGGGAGAAUAUCCUGGAGUUCCCUGGUGGCCUAGUGGUUAAGGAUCCAGCAAUGCUACUGCUGUGGCUUAGGUUCUGUCCUUGGUCCUGGAAUUUGUGCAUGCCAUGGGUGUGUCCAAAAAAAUAAAGAAUAUUCUGAGGGUGACUUAUAAUUAAGCCGUCAAAAGCCUUGCGCAGGGCUUAGGAAUGUAUUUGCAGUUCCUCUUAGACUUGUCAAGUGGACUACAAUUUAACGCCUAAGAGUAAUACAAAAUGAGAGCAUGUUUUUCAGUAUUCUCUUCCUCAGCCCACAAGACUGAGGUCAGGGAAGGGGAGUGAAACUCGCCCUAAACUCUCUUUAUGUGUGGCACCUGACCUCCAAGUCCUCUCUCUCUGCCCCUCUCUCUUGACUUCAUGCAGUCCUCAUCACAGCCUCACAGGGAGAUGGUACACCUUCCAUCUUCUAGAUGAGAAAGCUGGAGAUGAGAGGCAGGAAUGUCACACAGUAGAAGUGGUACAGCUGAGCUCCCACCCAAAGCUCAUGUGCCUCCAAAGCUCAUUUUUUUCCUCCCCAGCCCACGUCUCCCAGGUCAAUGGAACUGCUCCCCAAUCACACCCUGUAGUCUUGCACAAAGCCUUGCUCUCCUACACCUGUCACCUUUCCAGUAAAAUGUCACAGUCCUCCUGGUUCCCUGGAGGGAAGAGUGAUUCUUGUACCAACUGUUUCCCUUGCUGUUCAGUGGAUCCUGCCUAUUCCUUUGAGCAUCUUCACAAUCCAGCUGUCGGUGGCAGAAGACAAAGCUACAUAAAUUGUCAUCUGGUUCAUGCUGGAAUCCGUUUGCUCUGGGAGUUUGGUGUGGCUACAGAUGAUCCCACAAAUGCCUCUUGUUCGUUGCCCCCAGGGAUCUCCUCUCAUUGUUUCCACCGAACAAGUUCAAAUGUCCUUCCUGACUCUGGUCUUUUGUCUCUAGACUAUACCUUUAUUUCAGGGCUUUGAAAUCCUGCAGAAACAGGUGAGUCGUCAAAAACCUUCUCUGGAAGGCCAGACGCUCAGAGCACUUGUGUUUCUCUGUCUCAAUAUUAAAAGAUCAAGGUUUCCAGUGGAGCCAACCUGAUCUAAUAAUUGGGCUCUUCUUUUCCCUCUGAAUCCUCUUCCAAGGGAGAGAAGCACAGCCCCAGCCUCCAAAAUUAAGCAUCCAGGUCGAAGGCCAAGUUCCAAGUCUGGCAGCCACCAUUUAGUUGGGGGGCCAAGGGCGUUGCUGUUGGGGAGGUAAGGCAGGCACCGCCCCUCUUGAAAACCAUCCUAGAAAGAUGAGCCCACUUGGUCAGAUGUGCCAAUCAUUCCCAGUUUUAAAGAGGAAAAUGCUUUCCACAUUGCUUCCAAUGGGAUAUGGCUAUGCUUCCUCGUUUUUCUCUUGGUACCGUAGCAGUGAGGGAAACACCAGUCUCAGAAGAGCAGGUGAGGUUUCCAGGGACAUCGGAUCUAUAUUUGGGAUUGUAUUUUCAUUCAUUCCCUUUUACAGCAUAGCAUUCUGGUACCUUGCUCCCUGAAUUUGUCUCCAUGCUACAAGCAGGCUUUCUUCACAUUCUGGCUUACACGGGAACACAACUCUUCCACAAGUGGCCUUUAGUGCUCUUUAUAAUAUGAUUUCCUGUAAUUUUUAAACUGUAUGUGUAAUUUAUAUUCUGGCUCUGUCCGAUAUUUGAACAACUUUAAUAGGUUGAUUUCCAUAUAUAUUAUGCAGACAAUUCUUACCUGGUUUUUUUUUUAUGUUCUAUCUUAAAAUAAAUACUGCACCACUUAUUAAUAAAUAGAC
rnacentral:lncRNA from 1 species